UACGUAGGGGGCAAGCGUUGUCCGGAAUUAUUGGGCGUAAAGAGCGUGUAGGCGGUCCGGUAAGUCAGCUGUGAAAGUCAAGGGCUCAACCCUUGAAUGCCGGUUGAUACUGUCGGGCUAGAGUCCGGAAGAGGCGAGUGGAAUUCCCGGUGUAGCGGUGAAAUGCGCAGAUAUCGGGAGGAACACCUAUUGCGAAGGCAGCUCGCUGGGACGUUACUGACGCUGAGACGCGAAAGCGUGGGGAGCAAACAGG
rnacentral:rRNA from 1 species